GCCAGGUGCGGUGGCUCACACCUGUAAUCCCAGCACCUUGGGAGGCUGAGGUGGGAGGAUCGCUUGAGCCCAGGAGUUCAAGACCAGCCUGGGCAAUAUAGCAAGACCCCAUCUCUA
rfam:Pan troglodytes isolate Yerkes chimp pedigree #C0471 (Clint) chromosome 22, whole genome shotgun sequence.